AUCACAUAACUCAGCAACUUAUGGACCUAAUGACAGCAUGCUACGCUUCCCAUCAGUGGAGCACCCCUUGCCACAAAGCACUAAGUAGCAAACUGCAAUUCUACCCCAAAUUCAUGUCCAUCUACAUUGCAGAGUAAAAUGUAACCACCUUAAAUCCACUACCUUAUACUACAAGUUGCAUUCAUAACCUUUGAGGGCAAGCGAUAAACUCAAACGGUCAUUACCAGCUAAAAUAGCUUUCAAAUUAACAAAGAUAACAAGCUUUUCACAGAGCAA
rnacentral:misc_RNA from 1 species